UCCGAAGAAACAAAACAAAAAUAAUAAUAAAAGAGGAACACGAAAAAACUUGUAACAUUAGAAGAAUUUCACCAAUAGUAGAAUCCUAGAACACUCCCUCUUCCUUGCUUUGGUUCUUGAACACUGCUUGGCUCAUCUUCAUUGGCACCCUCAGCCUGUUGUGGUUCAUCGUCAUUGGUGUCUCUUAAAAAAGAUAUACCACAGGGGUUAUCACAAAGUGUCUUCUGAAAGACGUCAUAUGAUUUGGUCAAGGGUUUGGGCUCAUACAGCAAGAGUGUUUCAACAUAGUCUUUACCUUUUACUUAAGCAAACGUCCAAUGAUCUCAAUGAACUCAUCCUCAAGUAAUUCGCAUUUCUUUUUGCGAUUUUCAUAAAAUAUUUGUAUGACAUCAAGGGAAGCACAAACCCUAAGAGGUUUUCUGUUCCUCAAGGGUGUUCUCUCUAUUUGUAAGUUUUUUAUCUAUG
rnacentral:lncRNA from 1 species